CAGCAGCCGCGGGAAUACGAAGGGGGCUAGCGUUGUUCGGAUUUACUGGGCGUAAAGGGCGCGUAGGCGGACUGAUAAGUCAGGGGUGAAAUCCCAAGGCUCAACCUUGGAACUGCCUUUGAUACUGAGGAUCUUGAGUUCGGGAGAGGUGAGUGGAACUGCGAGUGUAGAGGUGAAAUUCGUAGAUAUUCGCAAGAACACCAGUGGCGAAGGCGGCUCACUGGCCCGAUACUGACGCUGAGGCACGAAAGCGUGGGGAGCAAACAGGAUUAGAACCCCAGUAGUCCCUGUCUCUUAUACA
rnacentral:rRNA from 1 species